GAUGAACGCUGGCGGCGUGCCUAAUACAUGCAAGUCGAGCGAACAGACGAGGAGCUUGCUCCUCUGACGUUAGCGGCGGACGGGUGAGUAACACGUGGAUAACCUACCUAUAAGACUGGGAUAACUUCGGGAAACCGGAGCUAAUACCGGAUAAUAUAUUGAACCGCAUGGUUCAAUAGUGAAAGACGGUUUUGCUGUCACUUAUAGAUGGAUCCGCGCCGCAUUAGCUAGUUGGUAAGGUAACGGCUUACCAAGGCGACGAUGCGUAGCCGACCUGAGAGGGUGAUCGGCCACACUGGAACUGAGACACGGUCCAGACUCCUACGGGAGGCAGCAGUAGGGAAUAUUCCGCAAUGGGCGAAAGCCUGACGGAGCAACGCCGCGUGAGUGAUGAAGGUCUUCGGAUCGUAAAACUCUGUUAUUAGGGAAGAACAAAUGUGGAAGUAACUAUGCACGUCUUGACGGUACCUAAUCAGAAAGCCACGGCUAACUACGUG
rnacentral:rRNA from 1 species